AACAUAUCUACACAAACACACAAAACAAAAUAUUAAAAUCAUAGGAGGAAAUCCUCCUUUUUUAUCACAAAGACUGUAAAUUUUCAUAUAGAAAUUCAGUCUUUACUGUGUCUUUAAAUUAGACACUAAGUGGGCGUAUCCAGAAAGAGGUAGUAAUAUUUACAAGUUUGCAAUCUCUCUCCAAGAGGGAGAGAGAAAAAAAAAAAAAAAAAAAAAAAAAAAUUUUUAUACUUAACUCCAUUAACUUUCAAUUCUGUGUCUUAAGUGGAUCUAUAUCUUCUUAU